rnacentral:piRNA from 1 species
AGUAUGGUCAUGAGUGUGGUCACCUCAUC